AUUGAAUGCUGGCGGCAUGCCUUACACAUGCAAGUCGAACGGUAACAGGUCUUCGGAUGCUGACGAGUGGCGAACGGGUGAGUAAUACAUCGGAACGUGCCCGAUCGUGGGGGAUAACGAAGCGAAAGCUUUGCUAAUACCGCAUACGAUCUACGGAUGAAAGCAGGGGACCGCAAGGCCUUGCGCGAACGGAGCGGCCGAUGGCAGAUUAGGUAGUUGGUGGGAUAAAAGCUUACCAAGCCGACGAUCUGUAGCUGGUCUGAGAGGACGACCAGCCACACUGGGACUGAGACACGGCCCAGACUCCUACGGGAGGCAGCAGUGGGGAAUUUUGGACAAUGGGCGAAAGCCUGAUCCAGUCAUGCCGCGUGCAGGAUGAAGGCCUUCGGGUUGUAAACUGCUUUUGUACGGAACGAAAAGACUCUGGUUAAUACCUGGGGUCCAUGACGGUACCGUAAGAAUAAGCACCGGCUAACUACGUG
rnacentral:rRNA from 1 species